rnacentral:rRNA from 1 species
UUAAAUUGAAGAGUUUGAUCAUGGCUCAGAUUGAACGCUGGCGGCAGGCCUAACACAUGCAAGUCGAACGGUAACAGGAARMAGCUUGCUKYUUYGCUGACGAGUGGCGGACGGGUGAGUAAUGUCUGGGAAACUGCCUGAUGGAGGGGGAUAACUACUGGAAACGGUAGCUAAUACCGCAUAACGUCGCAAGACCAAAGAGGGGGACCUUCGGGCCUCUUGCCAUCGGAUGUGCCCAGAUGGGAUUAGCUUGUUGGUGGGGUAACGGCUCACCAAGGCGACGAUCCCUAGCUGGUCUGAGAGGAUGACCAGCCACACUGGAACUGAGACACGGUCCAGACUCCUACGGGAGGCAGCAGUGGGGAAUAUUGCACAAUGGGCGCAAGCCUGAUGCAGCCAUGCCGCGUGUAUGAAGAAGGCCUUCGGGUUGUAAAGUACUUUCAGCGGGGAGGAAGGGAGUAAAGUUAAUACCUUUGCUCAUUGACGUUACCCGCAGAAGAAGCACCGGC